AACGAACGCUGGCGGCAGGCCUAACACAUGCAAGUCGAGCGCGCCUUCGGGUGAGCGGCGGACGGGUGAGUAACGCGUGGGAAUAUGCCCUUCUCUACGGAAUAGUCCUGGGAAACUGGGGGUAAUACCGUAUACGCCCUUUGGGGGAAAGAUUUAUCGGGGAAGGAUUAGCCCGCGUUGGAUUAGGUAGUUGGUGGGGUAAUGGCCUACCAAGCCGACGAUCCAUAGCUGGUUUGAGAGGAUGAUCAGCCACACUGGGACUGAGACACGGCCCAGACUCCUACGGGAGGCAGCAGUGGGGAAUCUUAGACAAUGGGGGCAACCCUGAUCUAGCCAUGCCGCGUGAGUGAUGAAGGCCUUAGGGUUGUAAAGCUCUUUCAGCUGGGAAGAUAAUGACGGUACCAGAAGAAGAAGCCCCGGCUAACUCCGUG
rnacentral:rRNA from 1 species